GUGGCUCAAUGGGUAGAUAACAGGUUUUGAAAACCUGAGGUCUCAGGUUUGAUUCCUGGC
rnacentral:tRNA from 1 species